GUGAUGAGGCCGCUGAGCCACGACUGGUGACGUGUCUUUAGCCGGCUGA
rnacentral:snoRNA from 2 species